AUAUUGCACAAUGGGCGCAAGCCUGAUGCAGCCCUGCCGCGCGUAUGAAGAAGGCCCUCGGGUUGUAAAGUACUUUCAGCGUGGAGGAAGGCAUUGUGGUUAAUAACCGCAGUGAUUUACGUUACUCGCAGAAGAAGCACCGGCUAACUCCGUGCCAGCAGCCGCGGUAAUACGGAGGGUGCAAGCGUUAAUCGGAAUUACUGGGCGUAAAGAGCACGCAGGCGGUUUGUUAAGUCAGAUGUGAAAUCCCCGGGCUCAACCUGGGAACUGCAUUUGAAACUGGCAGGCUUGAGUCUCGUAGAGGGGGGUAGAAUUCCAGGUGUAGCGGUGAAAUGCGUAGAGAUCUGGAGGAAUACCGGUGGCGAAGGCGGCCCCCUGGACGAAGACUGACGCUCAGGUGCGAAAGCGUGGGGAGCAAAC
rnacentral:rRNA from 1 species